rnacentral:rRNA from 1 species
AGUGAACGCUGGCGGUAGGCCUAACACAUGCAAGUCGAACGGCAGCACAGUAAGAGCUUGCUCUUACGGGUGGCGAGUGGCGGACGGGUGAGGAAUACAUCGGAAUCUACUUUUUCGUGGGGGUUAACGUAGGGAAACUUACGCUAAUACCGCAUACGACCUACGGGUGAAAGCAGGGGAUCUUCGGACCUUGCGCGAUUGAAUGAGCCGAUGUCGGAUUAGCUAGUUGGCGGGGUAAUGUCCAACCAAGUCGACGUUCCGUAGCUGUUCCGGGAGAAUGAUCAGCCACACUGGAAAUGCGAGACGGUCCAGAAUCCUAUGGGAAGCAGCAUUGGGGAAUAUUGUACAAUGGGCACUAGCCUGAUCCAACCAUACCGGGUGGGUGAAGAGGGCCUCCGCGUUGUAAACCCAUUUUGUUGGGAGAGAAAAGCAGCAGGUUAGUACCCUGCUGUUCUGACGGUACCCAAAGAAUAAGCACCGGCUAACUUCGUG